UACAGAGGUCUCAAGCGUUGUUCGGAUUCAUUGGGCGUAAAGGGUGUGUAGGUGGCGCCGUAAGUCGGGUGUGAAAUUUCGGAGCUUAACUCCGAAACUGCAUUCGAUACUGCGGUGCUUGAGGACUGGAGAGGAGACUGGAAUUCAUGGUGUAGCAGUGAAACGCGUAGAGAUCAUGAGGAAGACCAGUGGCGAAGGCGGGUCUCUGGACAGUUCCUGACACUGAGACACGAAGGCCAGGGGAGCAAACGGG
rnacentral:rRNA from 1 species